rfam:Triticum aestivum genome assembly, contig: Triticum_aestivum_CS42_TGACv1_scaffold_080430_1DS
UGUAUGCAUUAAUGUGAAUCACGGGGGCGGUAUAUGUGUAAGUUGGCUCUUGAAAAAGGCCUCCUUCCUUGAUUAUACAACCUAAACUGAUCAUAUAGUCUGAGCAAACA